rnacentral:rRNA from 1 species
GAUGAACGCUAGCGACAGGCCUAACACAUGCAAGUCGAGGGGCAGCACAGGUAGCAAUACUGGGUGGCGACCGGCGGAUGGGUGCGUAACGCGUAUGCAACCUACCAUUGAUUGGGGCAUAGCCCGAAGAAAUUCGGAUUAAUACUCCAUAAUAUUCAUCAAAGGCAUCUUUUAUGAAUUAAAGCUUUUGCGAUCAAUGAUGGGCAUGCGUGACAUUAGUUAGUUGGUGAGGUAACGGCUCACCAAAACGAUGAUGUCUAGGGGUUCUGAGAGGAUUAUCCCCCACACUGGUACUGAGACACGGACCAGACUCCUACGGGAGGCAGCAGUGAGGAAUAUUGGUCAAUGGACGCAAGUCUGAACCAGCCAUGCCGCGUGCAGGAUGACGGCCCUAUGGGUUGUAAACUGCUUUUCCACGGGAAGAACCCUCCGACGUGUCGGAGACUGACGGUACCGUGGGAAUAAGCAUCGGCUAACUCCGUG